UAUUAUUUCCAUGCAGUCUCUUUCUUAACAAUUAGUGAUAGAAAUUUUAUGUAGGUUCCACAUCUGUUUCCAUUUGCUUCUGUGAAAUGGACAGGAAAUGAUAUGUACACAUUCAUUGACAAGAGUUGGGGCCCAAAGAAGGAGACCAUUUGGCUUUGUACAUUUCUCUUAAAUUUCUAGAGUCUAAAAUAUAAAAAUAAUAGAUAAAAAUUGGUGAAUAUUUUUUAUUUAUUAUUAUACAUAUCUAAUAUUUAAGAUUUAGGUAAUUAAUAGUAUAAUUAGGGAAACAUUUCAAGGAAUCAAACAACUCCCCAAACAACCCCAACACUGGUCAGAUUCAAAAUUUGAACUUGCAGACAUUACAAGAAAAGUUGUCUUAUUUAUCUUGACCAAAAUAUGAAUUUUACCAUGGAUGUAGAGUUGUAGCCUAAAAAGAGCCAAAGUGUUCUAUUAACAUUUAAAAGUGCAGAUGUAUUAUUCUGAUGACAUAACUAUUGGAUUUGUGAAGAUUGAUGUUUUCAUAUAUUUUGGAUUAAAUCUUCUGAACUGCAUGGUGAAACAAAAGAAAAUUGUUUUCUGAUGGGACUGAAGAAUGGACACAUUCAACAUGUUCAAUCAGGCUUGGAGCAUCAUACGAAAGAAAUGGAAAGUUGUCCACUAGGUCAUCAACCAUCUGCCGAAGCCAAGAAAGGAACACAAGACAAGAUAGAAGUCAGAUAGCAAUAAUGACCUUUGAAUAUUUUUCAAAAAUGUUUAACUUUACAUUAAAACAUAGUCUAAUUUUAAUAGUUUUUAUUUUUUUUGAUCUAUUUUGCUAGCAAUAUAUGGCAAUGAAAUUUUAACGGUGAAGCUUUAUUUUGAAAGUAAUGAGGUUAAUUCAAUCUGAUGAGAACUCCUGCAGAUAUUUACUUUCCCAGUGUCCUAUUUUGAAAAGGACAAAGGACAAGAAUAUGUUAUUAAACUAAACAGAACUAUAUAAGGUAAUAUUGCAGGUCUGCUUGUCCAUUUGUGAGUGAAUACCAGAGUAAUGCCAUAGAUGCCAUACUUUCCAUGGCAAUAUGUAAUUGUUGCCAUCAUUUUCAUGGCAACCUGCCAUAGAUGCCAUACUUUUCAUAGAGGCCAUGCCAACCUGCCAUUGAUGCCAUUCUUUCCAUGGAAAUCAUGGCAAUUUGCCAUCGAUGCCAUGAUUUCCAUCCUUUUAUGAUUUAAUGGCAACGAUGGAAA